rnacentral:tRNA from 1 species
GUUAAUGUAGCUUAAACAACAAAGCAAGGCA